AUGAAAUUACAAUUAUCAAUUACAUAAAUAGAUGGAACCAAACAUGCAUCUUCUAUAUAUUGAACGCAAUUGGUUUAAUUACAACAUCAAGUUCUUGUCCUAUUCAAAAUCCCAUACAAUAAUCACUCAUUUUUCUUUCUAGGUCCUACAUUUCCGGUGUAUGGUGUCCUAAGUGCUUGGCUCUUAUAACGCCUUCUUGAUCCAAUCCUGACAUACGUCUUGAAAUGUGAUUGGUUGUUGGACAUUCCACCCGGUGCGCUCUUCGACAUUCCACCUUGUUCGGUCUUGGACAUUCCACCCGGUUCGUUGUUCGACAUUCCACCAGGGGAAACAAAUGCACUGUUACUGUUACUGAAUGGUUGUGGACUUGCAGCACUUUGUUCGCUAUCAUCUUUAGUUGUCCUUUUAGUUGUUCUUUUGGCCUUCUCUUUUGCCAACUCUGUCUCUACGAAAUUCACCUUCCUUUUAAGCUCUUCAACGAACACCCACAAGGAGAACGAACAGCGAACACUCACACCCACAACGACAAUGAACUGUGAAAACCUACACCCACAACGACAACCAACUGCAAACACCCAC
rnacentral:lncRNA from 1 species